GUGUGUGUGCCGGGUGCUGUACUGCUCCCCUUUCGAGUAGCCAUGCGUACGUAGGCAAAAACCUUGAAAGGAUGCUCUUUCAUCCACUACUGUGUUUGACCCUCAGAGAAAGACUAAGAUGUCAACUGAUAUAAUUACUCCACUCCCAAUAAACAGAUAUGGAACGUGACCCUCAGAACAACAUGCAGGGCCUGUCCUCUUGGCAGAAACAUACACAAGGUCCUCCAUGACAGAAGAAGAAAGAGAAGGAAGGAGAAGAGGAGAUGUAGGAGAAGAAAGAGAACUAUCAAUUAGUGUGUGAUUAAUAGGUGUCUGGCCGUUCUAAAUGCUACAAAUGGAUAUUCUCAUUUAAUUCUCGUUAUAACCCUCCAUUUUACAGAUGAGGAAACUGAGACCCAGAGAGGUUACGCCUGAUCCUCAGGUGGACACUGGGAGAAGAGAACUUUGCCACUGCCCCAAUAAGCUGUACCCCAAGGUCACACAGC